ACAGGGAUUGCCCUAGUAACGGCGAGUGAAGCGGCAACAGCUCAAAUUUGAAAUCUGGCUCUUUUAGGGUCCGAGUUGUAAUUUGCAGAGGGCGCUUUGGCGUUGGCAGCGGUCCAAGUUCUUUGGAACAGGACGUCACAGAGGGUGAGAAUCCCGUACGUGGUCGCUAUCCUUCGCCGUGUAAAGCCCCUUCGACGAGUCGAGUUGUUUGGGAAUGCAGCUCUAAAUGGGAGGUAAAUUUCUUCUAAAGCUAAAUACUGGCCAGAGACCGAUAGCGCACAAGUAGAGUGAUCGAAAGAUGAAAAGCACUUUGGAAAGAGAGUCAAAUAGCACGUGAAAUUGUUGAAAGGGAAGCGCUUGCAGCCAGACUUGCCUGUAGUUGCUUAUCCGGACUCUUGUCCGGUGCACUCUUCUGCGGGCAGGCCAGCAUCAGUUUGGGCAGUUGGAUAAAGGUCUCUGUCAUGUACCUCUCUUCGGGGAGGCCUUAUAGGGGAGACGACAUGCAACUAGCCUGGACUGAGGUCCGCGCAUCUGCUAGGAUGCUGGCGUAAUGGCUGUAAGCGGCCCGUCUUGAAACACGGACCAAGGAGUCUAACAUCUAUGCGAGUGUUUGGGUGUCAAGCCCAGACGCGUAAUGAAAGUGAACGGAGGUGGGAACCCUUUGGGUGCACCAUCGACCGAUCCUGAUGUCUUCGGAAGGAUUUGAGUAAGAGCAUGGCUGUUGGGACCCGAAAGAUGGUGAACUAUGCUUGAAUAGGGUGAAGCCAGAGGAAACUCUGGUGGAGGCUCGCAGCGGUUCUGACGUGCAAAUCGAUCGUCAAAUUUGGGCAUAGGGGCGAAAGACUAAUCGAACUAUCUAGUAGCUGGUUCCUGCCGAAGUUUCCCUCAGGAUAGCAGUAACGUAUUCAGUUUUAUGAGGUAAAGCGAAUGAUUAGAGGCCUGGGGGUUGAAACAACCUUCACCUAUUCUCAAACUUUAAAUAUGUAAGAAGUCCUUGUUACUUGAUUGAACGUGGACAUUUGAAUGUACCGUUACUAGUGGGCCAUUUUUGGUAAGCAGAACUGGCGAUGCGGGAUGAACCGAACGCGGGGUUAAGGUGCCAGAAUAUACGCUCAUCAGACACCACAAAAGGUGUUAGUUCAUCUAGACAGCAGGACGGUGGCCAUGGAAGUCGGAAUCCGCUAAGGAGUGUGUAACAACUCACCUGCCGAAUGAACUAGCCCUGAAAAUGGAUGGCGCUCAAGCGUAUUACCCAUACCCCGCCGCCGGGGCAGAAUUUACGCCCCGGCGAGUAGGCAGGCGUGGAGGCUCGUGACGAAGCCUUGG
rnacentral:rRNA from 1 species